rnacentral:rRNA from 1 species
AGUGAACGCUGGCGGUAGGCCUAACACAUGCAAGUCGAACGGCAGCACAGUAAGAGCUUGCUCUUACGGGUGGCGAGUGGCGGACGGGUGAGGAAUACAUCGGAAUCUACUUUUUCGUGGGGGAUAACGUAGGGAAACUUACGCUAAUACCGCAUACGACCUACGGGUGAAAGCAGGGGAUCUUCGGACCUUGCGCGAUUGAAUGAGCCGAUGUCGGAUUAGCUAGUUGGCGGGGUAAAGGCCCACCAAGGCGACGAUCCGUAGCUGGUCUGAGAGGAUGAUCAGCCACACUGGAACUGAGACAUGGUCCAGACUCCUACGGGAGGCAGCAGUGGGGAAUAUUGGACAAUGGGCGCAAGCCUGAUCCAGCCAUACCGCGUGGGUGAAGAAGGCCUUCGGGUUGUAAAGCCCUUUUGUUGGGAAAGAAAAGCAGCAGGUUAAUACCCCGCUGUCCUGACGGUACCCAAAGAAUAAGCACCGGCUAACUUCGUG